AUUGGGCCUAAAGCAUCCGUAGCCGGCUGUUCAAGUUUCCGGUUAAAUCCACACGCUUAACGUAUGGGCUGCCGGAAAUACUGUUCAGCUAGGGAGUGGGAGAGGUGGACGGUACUCGGUAGGAAGGGGUAAAAUCCUUUGAUCUAUUGAUGACCACCUGUGGCGAAGGCGGUCCACCAGAACACGUUCGACGGUGAGGGAUGAAAGCUGGGGGAGCAAACCGGAUUAGAUACCCGGGUAGUCCCAGCUGUAAACGAUGCAGACUCGGUGAUGCAUUGGCUUGUGGCCAAUGCAGUGCCGCAGGGAAGCCGUUAAGUCUGCCGCCUGGGAAGUACGUACGCAAGUAUGAAACUUAAAGGAAUUGGCGGGGGAGCACA
rnacentral:rRNA from 2 species